CAGUAGCCGCGGGAAUACAGAGGUCCCGAGCGUUGUUCGGAUUCACUGGGCGUAAAGGGUGUGUAGGAGGCUAGGUAAGUCAGUUGUGAAAUCCCACUGCUUAACGGUGGAACUGCAAUCGAUACUGCUUGGCUAGAGGAUCGGAGGGGGAAGCGGAAUUCUUGGUGUAGCGGUGAAAUGCGUAGAUAUCAAGAGGAACACCGGUGGCGAAGGCGGCUUCCUGGAAGAUUCCUGACUCUGAAACACGAAAGCUAGGGGAGCGAAUGGGAUUAGAUACCCCAGUAGUCCCUGUCUCUUAUAC
rnacentral:rRNA from 1 species